rnacentral:rRNA from 1 species
AGAGUUUGAUUAUGGCUCAGAACGAACGCUGGCGGCGCGUUUUAAGCAUGCAAGUCGAGCGGCAAGGGUCUUCGGGCCCCUAGAGCGGCGGACGGGUGAGUAACACGUGGACAAUCUGCCCCCCGGCCGGGGAUAGCCCAGGGAAACCUGGAUUAAUACCGGAUGAGACGGGACCCGCGGAGGCGGGAUCCGGGAAAGGCGCUGCGGCGCCGCCGGGGGAUGAGUCUGGUCCCAUUAGCUUGACGGCGGGGUAACGGCCCACCGUGGCGACGAUGGGUAGCCGGCCUGAGAGGGUGGACGGCCACAUUGGAACUGAGACACGGUCCAGACUCCUACGGGAGGCAGCAGCUAAGAAUCUUCCGCAAUGGGCGAAAGCCUGACGGAGCGACGCCGCGUGAACGAAGAAGGCCGUGAGGUUGUAAAGUUCUUUUCGGGAGGGGGAACAACCGUGGCAGGGAAUGGCCGCGGGAUGACGUGAAUCCCGGAAUAAGCCCCGGCUAACUACGUGCCAGCAGCCGCGGUAACACGUAGGGGGCGUGCGUUGUUCGGAAUCAUUGGGCGUAAAGGGCGUGCAGGCGGUCCUGCAAGUCCGGCGUGAAAGACCCCGGCCCAACCGGGGGGGCGCGCUGGAAACUGCAGGGCUUGAGUACAGGAGGGGAUGCCGGAAUUCCAGGUGUAGGGGUGAAAUCUGUAGAUAUCUGGAGGAACACCAAUGGCGAAGGCAGGCAUCUGGCCAUGUACUGACGCUGAGACGCGAAGGUGCGGGGAGCAAACAGGAUUAGAUACCCUGGGUAGUC